GCUGGGCAUGGUGGUGCACACCUGUAAUCCUAGCAGCUUGGGAGGCUGAGGCAGGAGAUUCCUGAGUUCAAAAUCAGCCUCAGCAACUUAGCAAGGGCCUAAGCAACUCAGCAAGACCUUGUCUCAA
rnacentral:sRNA from 1 species